GAUCGCGUCAUUGUGCCGGUU
rnacentral:misc_RNA from 1 species